AAACUACGCACUCUUUCCAGAGGGCUUGGUACACAAACUCCAAUUUGGGCAGACAGAGGGAUAAUCGAGCUACUUGUGUUCAGACAACCUGGAUCGCCGAAAUCUGUUCAAUGUUAAUCUGGCAACCCCGAGCAAUUUUCCGCUUUUCUUUAUUGCCUUCCCUCUCUUUAGCCCUCCUUUUCCCUCUGACUUCUUCGUCUGCUCUAUAGCGUGGUGGACCUGUCAGAGUCCAGAACGACACAUUUCUUUGUUUAAAGUUCUUUCAUCGUCCUCAGAGUUAUAUACUCUUCUGAUUGUUAGUGUCUCCUCUUCCUACAUUUUCCAGUCGCCACCUUGGCUCUAAAGAUUAUUCGCCAUUCUCUGGCCCUCCACGUGAUAAUCUGUCAAUCAUUCUGAUUUGGGUCUGAUUGUGUCUGUCUGACUCUUUACAAUCAUUACGAGUCACUCUCUUCUCAUUUUGUGUGUGUGCAAUCCCAGAUACCACACGUUGUCUUUCAUACCUGGUGUUCUCACCACCCCUUUAUCGAAUACAAUAUUCAUCAGUCUACAGUCAGGAAUUUAAUUCAAGGUUUCACCAAGGGAACACAACCUUAAAUAGAUUACGAACGGGAAAAUAUCUUUCGAAUAAUUUGGCCGUAUUCUUUUCCAAUUCCAAGCCAUUACCUAAAAAAUAAUUUCAUGUAAACAGUUUAAAUGUUUUAUUUUAUUCAUUCUGAAUUUUUUGGAUUUAUUUCGUAAAUACGCUAGUUAAUAUGGCUAUUUUAAAGGUCAUUGAUUGAAAAAGACGUAGCCAAUUCAGGAAGGGGAGACCGGGGCAAGUAGGCUCUUUUUUCACACACCCGGGCCUGCAUUUCAUAAUAUUUAUCGGAAUGGUAUUUUUAAAAAAUUCAAGAUUAUUAUCUUAGCUAAAAUGUAGCGUAAAAACUACGUAAAAGUUAUAAAUAUACAAUCAUAUUGACUGGU